AAGACGGUAGGUGGACAGAGCGAGCCAGCGAGGAAGGGUGUUUCGACAUCCUCACUUUCUCAGCUGGGACCGCCUAGCCUGUACCCGCAUUCGCCAGGACCCACAUGGACUAUCCUCAGGAAAAUGAGAUCCAGGAAGAGUGACGCCCUCCUCGAACUGAAAG
ensembl:lincRNA